rnacentral:rRNA from 1 species
UCCUUUUUGGGAUAAGCCUUGGAAACGGGGUCUAAUACCGAAUAUUCUGGCGCUCUCGCAUGGGGGUGUUGGGAAAGCUUUUGUGUGAAGGGGGAUGGGCUCGCGGCCUAUCAGCUUGUUGGUGGGGUGAUGGCCUACCAAGGCGGUGACGGGUAGCCGGCCUGAGAGGGUGACCGGCCACAUUGGGACUGAGAUACGGCCCAGACUCCUACGGGAGGCAGCAGUGGGGGAUAUUGCACAAUGGGCGAAAGCCUGAUGCAGCGACGCCGCGUGGGGGAUGAAGGCUUUCGGGUUGUAAACCUCUUUCGCUAUCGAACAAGGCCCGCUUAGGGUGGGUUGAGGGUAGGUGGAGAAGAAGCGCCGGCUAACUACGUGCCAGCAGCCGCGGUAAUACGUAGGGCGCGAGCGUUGUCCGGAAUUAUUGGGCGUAAAGGGCUUGUAGGCGGCUUGUUGCGCCUGCUGUGAAAACGCGGGGCUUAACUUCGCGCGUGCAGUGGGUACGGGCAGGCUUGAGUGUGGUAGGGGUGACUGGAAUUCCAGGUGUAGCGGUGGAAUGCGCAGAUAUCUGGAGGAACACCGAUGGCGAAGGCAGGUCACUGGGCCAUUACUGACGCUGAGGAGCGAAAGCA